rnacentral:rRNA from 1 species
GAGUGGCGAACUGGUGAGUAACACGUGGGAAACCUGCCCAGAAGCGGGGGAUAACACCUGGAAACAGAUGCUAAUACCGCAUAACAACUUGGACCGCAUGGUCCGAGCUUGAAAGAUGGCUUCGGCUAUCACUUUUGGAUGGUCCCGCGGCGUAUUAGCUAGAUGGUGGGGUAACGGCUCACCAUGGCAAUGAUACGUAGCCGACCUGAGAGGGUAAUCGGCCACAUUGGGACUGAGACACGGCCCAAACUCCUACGGGAGGCAGCAGUAGGGAAUCUUCCACAAUGGACGAAAGUCUGAUGGAGCAACGCCGCGUGAGUGAAGAAGGGUUUCGGCUCGUAAAACUCUGUUGUUAAAGAAGAACAUAUCUGAGAGUAACUGUUCAGGUAUUGACGGUAUUUAACCAGAAAGCCACGGCUAACUACGUGCCAGCAGCCGCGGUAAUACGUAGGUGGCAAGCGUUGUCCGGGAUUUAUUGGGCGUAAAGCGAGCGCAGGCGGUUUUUUAAGUCUGAUGUGAAAGCCUUCGGCUCAACCGAAGAAGUGCAUCGGAAACUGGGAAACUUGAGUGCAGAAGAGGACAGUGGAACUCCAUGUGUAGCGGUGAAAUGCGUAGAUAUAUGGAAGAACACCAGUGGCGAAGGCGGCUGUCUGGUCUGUAACUGACGCUGAGGCUCGAAAGUAUGGGUAGCAAACAGGAUUAGAUACCCUGGUAGUCCAUACCGUAAACGAUGAAUGCUAAGUGUUGGAGGGUUUCCGCCCUUCAGUGCUGCAGCUAACGCAUUAAGCAUUCCGCCUGGGGAGUACGGCCGCAAGGCUGAAACUCAAAGGAAUUGACGGGGGCCCGCACAAGCGGUGGAGCAUGUGGUUUAAUUCGAAGCUACGCGAAGAACCUUACCAGGUCUUGACAUACUAUGCAAAUCUAAGAGAUUAGACGUUCCCUUCGGGGACAUGGAUACAGGUGGUGCAUGGUUGUCGUCAGCUCGUGUCGUGAGAUGUUGGGUUAAGUCCCGCAACGAGCGCAACCCUUAUUAUCAGUUGCCAGCAUUAAGUUGGGCACUCUGGUGAGACUGCCGGUGACAAACCGGAGGAAGGUGGGGAUGACGUCAAAUCAUCAUGCCCCUUAUGACCUGGGCUACACACGUGCUACAAUGGAUGGUACAACGAGUUGCGAACUCGCGAGAGUAAGCUAAUCUCUUAAAGCCAUUCUCAGUUCGGAUUGUAGGCUGCAACUCGCCUACAUGAAGUCGGAAUCGCUAGUAAUCGCGGAUCAGCAUGCCGCGGUGAAUACGUUCCCGGGCCUUGUACACACCGCCCGUCACACCAUGAGAGUUUGUAACACC